GCGUUGUUGGUGUAAUGGUAACAUUGAAGCUUCCCAGUCGCACUUCUUCCCACGGUCACGUGGCACUGGUGGCAUGUAUCAGCUGAUCAUGCUUUAGCCUCGGGUUCGAUUCCCGGACAACGCA